rnacentral:lncRNA from 1 species
CACGGCUGUUGGCGGAGCAGCAGAGGCCUUUUCUGUCUUCGUUCGAGUCAGAGCCAAAGCUGUGAUUGGUUGGGUGGGUGUGGGAUGAGUGAAGGGAGCAAUUUUGCACGCUAAAAAAUUUCUCACGAGCGUUGGAGCAUUUUUAAGGAUCAUUCCCCUUUUGGGAAAGCGACUCAACCCCUAAGCCGAGACCGAGGUUUUGUACCCAGAGGUCUACAUGCGGGUGGGCGUGGAACUGACCCCAGGGUGCCCCAGUACCCUGAGGCUCCUACCAAGAAGGGGAGGGGGUCAGUCCCGCCAAGUGCCUUCUCCGUUUGCUCCCGUCCCAACGAGGCUUGGACACCUCAGUGUCUCCGCCUGAGUCCUUGUUGCCUCUCGCUCCCUCGGUACUCCUGAUUCUGAAUCAGAAGUCAAGCUGGGAGAUUCUCCGGAUACACUUGCCUGGGCUGACCACCGGUGAUGAUUCCUUUGAGGUUGGGACUUUCUAUUCCGUCUUCACUGGGCUGCACACUGCAAGUCACAAGAGCCAGGACACCUACUCACCUAAUAAGUGGUAAUUAGCUGGUAAUUUCUUUUUCCUGAAGGGAAAUUUAGGAAAAGGCUGUGGAAAUGUAAAUCCUGUUCUCUGAAAUAUUUUUCCUCCUCUGUUUAAUCUUCCUCUAUAAUUUCAAAAAUAUAGCUGAUACAUCACUGUAUUGGCCAAAAUAUAAAACUUAUUUGGAAACCGAAUCGGUCAUUUUACACAAGGAUAAAGAAACAAAAUCCCACUUUCAUCACAUUUCUGAUUUUGAGUUUAAUUCCUCACUGCCAAAUGGAAAUAGUUACAAUAACGUUACAAAGUGCCUCUUAACAGUAACAUAGAAUACUACUUCCUUGUAUAAAGGCUCUUAAAUUCCCAGUGGAUAUCUAAGCAAGACAAUCGCUUAAAAAAAAAAAAAAAAAAGAGUGAGGGUUUGUUUGGUUUGAUUUGGUUUGGUUUUCCCACGUCGAAUAGUCACAUUCAUUGUAACCCUGAAUUAGGCAUGUGGGGGUAAAGGAAGAUUUCAGUAUUGUCUUUAUUGGAAUCAGAAGAUUGAAAUAUCUAAUCCCGUUUACGUAAAAGGUGUCUUGGUAUAUUUUAACUAACUUUGCGAAACGAAUCGCAAUGACUCAAACCAGAGCGAAAAAAGGGAAGUGAUUUCCCUUAAAACCAGGUGUUGAGCGCCUUGAUGACCCAAUACGGGGUGCGCGCGCGCAGAGUGACCAGACCCCUCUCCACGCAGCUCUGACAGAGCUCUCCAAUUCGGCAAGAGCAUCCGCAGCAGUAAUACCACCAGUACACCGUU